CUCUCCCCAUGUAGAGACAACACCGAGGCCUCGAAGCAUCUUGAGGAAGCAAAGGCAGUUUCUGCAAAGCCAGUGCAGCAGGACACAAGCCCCUCUCUGCUGGUUCCAGCUAAGUUUCACCCUUCAGACAGACCUACCUACCAGUGGAACAUAUCGAGACCAGAGCUGGAAACAGAAGGGUCCAGAGACUUCCACCGUGUCACUACUGCAAUGCUGGAGCAGAAUCUGAGAGAUGAAGAGCUAC